CAGUAGCCGCGGUAAUACAGAGGGUGCGAGCGUUAAUCGGAUUUACUGGGCGUAAAGCGUGCGUAGGCGGCUAAUUGAGUCGGAUGUGAAAUCCCCGAGCUUAACUUGGGAAUUGCAUUCGAUACUGGUUAGCUAGAGUGUGGGAGAGGAUGGUAGAAUUCCAGGUGUAGCGGUGAAAUGCGUAGAGAUCUGGAGGAAUACCGAUGGCGAAGGCAGCCAUCUGGCCUAACACUGACGCUGAGGUACGAAAGCAUGGGGAGCAAACAGGAUUAGAUACCCGCGUAGUCCCUGUCUCUUAUAC
rnacentral:rRNA from 1 species